rnacentral:rRNA from 1 species
GAUGAACGCUGACAGAAUGCUUAACACAUGCAAGUCAACUGUGGCGGACGGGUGAGUAACGCGUAAAGAACUUGCCUCACAGUUAGGGACAACAUUUGGAAACGAAUGCUAAUACCUGAUACUGUGAGAGAGCUUUGCGUCCCAUUAGCUAGUUGGAGAGUGAAAGGCUCACCAAGGCGAUGAUGGGUAGCCGGCCUGAGAGGGUGAUCGGCCACAAGGGGACUGGGACACGGCCAGUACUCCUACGGGAGGAAGCAGUGAGGAAUAUAGGAAGAUGGACCAAAGUGUGAUCAAGUAAGUCGGUGUGAAAAAUGAAGUUUUCUGAAUGUAAAGUGCUUUCAGUUGGAAAGCGGUACCAGCAGAAGAAGUGACGGCUAAAUACGUGCCAGCAGCCGCGGUAAUUC